rnacentral:rRNA from 1 species
AGAGCGAACGCUGGCGGCAGGCUUAACACAUGCAAGUCGAACGGACUCUUCGGAGUUAGUGGCGGACGGGUGAGUAACACGUGGGCAACCUGCCCCUCACACUGGGAUAACCUCGGGAAACCGGGGCUAAUACCGGAUACGACCUCGAGCGGCAUCUCUUGAGGUGGAAAGCUCCGACGGUGAGGGAUGGGCCCGCGGCCUAUCAGCUUGUUGGUGGGGUAAUGGCCUACCAAGGCGACGACGGGUAGCCGGCCUGAGAGGGCGACCGGCCACACUGGGACUGAGACACGGCCCAGACUCCUACGGGAGGCAGCAGUGGGGAUAUUGCGCAAUGGGCGAAAGCCUGACGCAGCGACGCCGCGUGAGGGAUGAAGGCCUUCGGGUUGUAAACCUCUUUCAGCAGGGACGAAGCGAAAGUGACGGUACCUGCAGAAGAAGCACCGGCUAACUACGUGCCAGCAGCCGC